rnacentral:rRNA from 1 species
UACGUAGGGAGCAAGCGUUGUUCGGAUUUACUGGGCGUAAAGGGCGCGUAGGCGGCAACUCAAGUCAUCUGUGAAAUCUCCGGGCUUAACUCGGAACGGUCAGAUGAUACUGUUUUGCUAGAGUGCAGAAGGGGCAAUCGGAAUUCUUGGUGUAGCGGUGAAAUGCGUAGAGAUGUGGAGGAAUACCGAUGGCGAAGGCAGCUCCCUGGGCCAAUACUGACGCUCAUGCACGAAAGCGUGGGGGAGCAAACAGG